rnacentral:rRNA from 1 species
AUUGAACGCUGGCGGCAGGCCUAACACAUGCAAGUCGAGCGGAUGACGGGAGCUUGCUCCUUGAUUCAGCGGCGGACGGGUGCGUAAUGCCCAGGAAUCUGCCUGGUAGUGGGGGACAACGUUUCGAAAGGAACGCUAAUACCGCCUACGUCCUACGGGAGAAGGCAGGGGACCUUCCGGCCUUGCGCUAUCAGAUGAGCCUAGGUCGGAUUAGCUAGUUGGUGGGGUAAUGGCUCACCAAGGCGACGAUCCGUAACUGGUCUGAGAGGAUGAUCAGUCACACUGGAACUGAGACACGGUCCAGACUCCUACGGGAGGCAGCAGUGGGGAAUAUUGGACAAUGGGCGAAAGCCUGAUCCAGCCAUGCCGCGUGUGUGAAGAAGGUCUUCGGAUUGUAAAGCACUUUAAGUUGGGAGGAAGGGCAGUAAGUUAAUACCUUGCUGUUUUGACGUUACCGACAGAAUAAGCACCGGCUAACUCUGUGCCAGCCGCCGCAGUAA